rnacentral:misc_RNA from 1 species
AACUUUUGGCAACGGAUCUCUUGGCUCCUGGCAUCGAUGAAGAACGCAGCGAAAUGCGAUAAGUAAUGCGAAUUGCAGAAUUCAGUGAGUCAUCGAAUCUUUGAACGCACCUUGCGCCCCUUGGCUAUUCCGAGGGGCAUGCCUGUUUGAGUAUCAUGAACACCUCAACUCUCAUGGUUUGCUGUGAUGAGCUUGGACUCUGGGGGUUUUGCUGGCCUGUGGUCAGCUCCCCUCAAAUGAAUCAGCCUCCCAGUGUUUGGUGGCAUCACGGGUGUGAUAAAUAUCUACGCUCGCGGUUGUCUGCCAGGUAACCCUCAGCAAUGAAGGUUCAUUGGGGCUCAUAAACAUCUCUCCUCGGCGAGGACAGCUUUUGAACGUUCGAUCUCAAAUCAGGUAGGACUACCCGCUGAACUUAAGCAUAUCAAUAAGCGGAGGAU